CGGUGUUUGUUCCUCUAAACGUAAAGCGUGAGAUAAACAACGUGCUGAAAGAUGAAACCGAGGACCUGCUGUGAUUGAUGGAGGUUCAUGAGCAUCAGAUGGUCAUUUAGCAGAUGCUUUUAUCCAAAGCCACUUAGAAAUGCAAUUAAACCAACCAAAGAGCAAUGAUGUGCAAGUGCUGUUCUCAGGAGAGCAAGUUUUUCUGAGCACAGGUUUAGUUAUCAUAACCUUAUACACCAACAAACAAUGAACAAUGCAUUUGUUGCAGUAUUUUUGAAUCUUAAUAAAAUUUAUUAAACACUC